GUCCCCGCUCCCUCUGCCUCCUGACUACUCUUGGGCUUCCCUGUGUGGCCCUGCGUGCCCCUCCUCAGGGAGCUGCCCUGCUCUCUGUGGGUGAAGGAAAAUCUCUGCCUGCUCACAUGCUGGGACCAUCCUGGGCCAUCUUGUGAGCAGGUGGAAAGACUCCACACACAAUGCCACCUGCCUUGCGAGCAGCAGCCAGUGGCCUCCUGGACAUCCUCAGGCUUCUGAGGACCCCCUGCGGAAGCUCCCUGAUACACAACCCUCCCUCUGGACCCUAGGAUGUCUGGCUUCCCAUGGAGCUCCAUUGGAUGUGGAGCUGGGUGAGCAGCCCACACCUGGGUCAGCACUCCCACGGGGACCACUCCGCACCACUCAUGAAAAGGAGACAUCGUCCCAGUGGACAGGCCCAACUCCUGCGUUACAGUCAGAAAACUCAGCUGCACGUGGAAGUGACCCUGAGGCCCCUUUGGGGUCCCA
rnacentral:lncRNA from 1 species